GACGUUAUCCAGGAGAGUCGCGUUGGACUCAGGGAAGGCCUGCACAGGAUUCGGUUGUUGCUGGGUCCGAAGGCGGUAGGGAGUGGAGAGAGGGCCGGGAGUCGCUCAGCGGGGUCUGGGAGAACGACUUGCAGAUUCACAUCUCCUCCGCCCGCGGAUGUCCUCCGGGGAAUUGAGGCUUCCUUCCUCAGCUGCCCUUGUUUCUCUCUUUGCUCCCGCUGCCUCUUGUUGUAUUUGGUUUCUUACUAUUUAUGUAGCCUCAUUGCUUGCGGUUAUAAUGGCCACCACUUUACUGAGCAUUCACUGUACAAGCAUCUCGCAGCAGGUGCUCAUAAGCGUCUGGCAAUUCUUGGCCACUGCUGGAAGCCCAAUCGUUCUUUUACCAUGGAAGGGAUUUGAGAGCCUACGUAAUCCUGUACUCUAACAUCCACAUGGUACUCUCGGGGCUAGGGAGAUAAAGUAGAAAUUGAAAUUGCCGUUAUAUUAGUUUUCUGAAGCUGCCAUAACCAAGUACCGCACACUGGAUAGCUUGAAACAACAGAUACAUUUUCUCGCUUUCUGGAGUCUAGAAGUCGGAAAUCAAGAUGUCAGUGGGGCCUUGCUUCUUCUGAGACUCUGAAUAGAAUCCUUCCUGCCUCUUCCUAGCUAAUGGUGGGAGCCAGCAGUCAUUGGUGUUCUUUGGCCUGUAGCUGCGUUACUCCAUUCUUUUCUCUGUUAUCAAAUGGUAUACUCCCUGGGUGUCUCUGUCUCUGUGUCUUUUAUAGGGACACCAGUCCUGUUAGGUAAAAGGCUCACCUUACUCCAGUAUGACCUGAUCAUGACUAAUCACAUCUGCAAUGACACUCUUUCCAAAUAAGGUCACAUUUUGAGGUUCCAGGAAGGACAUGAAUUUUGAGGGCGACACUAACCAACCCAGUACAGCUGUUAAAGUUCUCAAGAAGUAGACAAACGAAGACUUGACAAAUGUAGUACAAGUGGAUUCAAAUUCAGUUCAGUUUUAUCUGAGUGUUCAUAGACAUUCGGGGUAUCCCUUUAAAGGAUGGGUAGGGGCCCGGCGUGGUGGCUCACGCCUGUAGUCCCAGCACUUUGGGAAGCCAAGGUGGGCGGAUCAGUUGAGGUCAGGAGUUUGAGCCCAGCUUGGCCAACAUGGCGAGACCCCACCUCUACUAAAAAUACAAAAAUUAGCCGGACGUGGUGACAGGUGCCUGCAGUCCCAGCUACUUGGGAGGCUGAGGCAGGAGAAUCGCUUGAACCUGGGAGGUUGCAGUGAGCCGAUAUCGUGCCACCGCGCUCCAGCCUGGACAGCAGAGCAAGACUUGGUCUCUAAAUAAAUAAAUAAAAAAUACAUGGUGGGUAAGAUUUGAAUGUGCCAUCAUAGACUGUCAGAGACAGCAUUCUGGGCAAAAGAAAUGUCACAGACAGGAAGCACGGGUUGAACUGUAAAAUAAAUUAGGUUAAAGCAGGAAAGAUCUUCACUGCAUGCUGAAGAGUUUGGAGCCUAUUCUUUAUAUAAAAUUAGGAGCAAAUCAGCAUGUUUCAGCAACUUAGUUGUGCUUUGAAGAUUAAUUUACCAGUUUGGGCCAAGCCUGCUUUGCAUUUCUUGCUCCAGCUUAAGAAGUCUUAAAUCGUAUCAUCUGAGCAUAACGUGCUGUUUUCAUCCUAGUGUCUCUGCUCAUCCUGUCUCCUCUGCCUGGAAUGCUGCCAUGGAGCUACGUAACAUUCACUUGUCCAUUUUUUUUUGUCCUGGAAAUUGUAUUAUAGCAUGCACACAGCAAGGAGGAGGCCAUCAGCAAACCGGGAAGAGGACCCUCACCAGGAACCACAUCUGCCAGCACCUUGAUCUUGAACUUCUCAGCCUCCAGAACUAUGGAGUCUUGCUCUGUCGCCUAGGCUGGAGUGCAGUGGCAUGAUCUCAGCUCACUGCAACCGCCGUCUCCCGAGUUCAAGCAAUUCUCUGCUUCAGCCUCCCAAGUAGCUGUGAUUACAGUUGCCUGCCACCACGCCCAGCUAAUUUUUGUAUUUUUGUGUUUUUUAUUUUAUUUUAUUUUUAUUUUUGAGAAGGAGUCUUGCUCUGUUGCCCAGGCUGGAGUGCAGUGGCGCAAUCUCAGCUCACUGCAAUCUCCGUCUCCUGGGUUCAAGCAAUUCUCUGCCUCAGCUUCCUGAGUAGCUGGGAUUACGGGCACCCGCCACCAUGCCCAGCUAAUUUUCGUAUUUUUAGUAGAGACAGGGUUUCACCAUCUUGGCCAGGCUGGUCUUAAACUCCUGACCUCAUGAUCCACCCGCCUCGGCCUCCCAAAGUGCUGGGAUUACAGGCAUGAGCCAUGGCACCCGGCCAACAUCCCUCUCUUAACAACUGACAGAAAAACUGUACAAAAAAUCAGUGAAGUCAUAGAUGAUCUGAACAUUAUCAACUACCGUGACCUAAUUGAUAUUUAUAGAAUACUAUACCCUAAUCUGCAAAAUAAACAUUUUCAAUUACAUAUGGUAUGUUCAUGAGAGUAGACCAUAUGUUACUCCAUAAAGCAAGCCUCAAUAAAUUUAAAGGGAUUUAAAUCAUUCACUGUUUGUUCUCUGACCACAACCUGGGCAUGUGGCAGGCAUCUGAGCACACUGGGGGUCAGUGGAAGGAGAAGAGCCAGUUCAGAGAGGAGGCACAAGCAGGUCUGGGUAGGACUGAACACCAGGAGGAUUGAAGAGGGGGUGAUGGGGGCACCAAUUACCCACCUGGACCCCAGCCUCAGAGCUGCUAGGAGGAAGGACUGCUGCUGUCAGACUGGCCUGGGCAGUGAUGACGAACAGGGCCCCAGGGCUUCCCUCUUGGUCUCUUUAUCUGCCUGAAGGGUGGACAGCUUGUCCUUCCUUCUCUAGCCACGGAAGAAGAACAUCUAGCAAGGUGUGAGCAUGGCCACUGCAAGGUGAGAUAAUUGGGUUGGGGGCUCAGAUUUAAGUGGGAUUGCUCUGUGCCAAGAGGGAAGGGAUAACCAAAGGCUCUGUAUGGGAAGGAAGAAGGGCUGAAGCAAGGUGUGCUAGGGAACUGCCUACUCCCUGAUGCUUUUUCCUGCUGAAGGUGGCUGGCUAGGAGCAGUGAUCCCAAAGCCCUGCCUUCCACAGAGGGACACUUUGUCCAAGGUUAAAUGGAAAGGUGAGGAGAGGAGCUGACAAUUUAGGGUUGUCACUAAAUUGGGUUGACCCCACUGGUUGGGGUCCUGCAGGGGCCCAGUUCUGGGGAAAGGCAGAGCCCUGGGCUUCAGAAAGACUGCCUGUCACCCUGACACCCAGCUGCAGGACCACCCUCAUUACUUUGCUCUGUUGAAAGCCUCAGUCAGGGUGAGGGGAGGAAGAGCUCAGGCCCCCAGCAAGAAGUCCUCAUAGGGUGGGUGGCAUGAUCA